ACCUGGGUGGCUCAGUUGGUCAAGCAUCUGACUUCAGCUCAGGUCAUGAUCUCACAGUUCGUGGGUUCACGUCCUGCUUCGGGCU
rnacentral:tRNA from 1 species